AAAACAUAACCUUUAGCACACCAAGUAUUAGAGGCGACGCCUGCCCAGUGAAAUUUAAACGGCCGCGGUAUCCUAACCGUGCAAAGGUAGCGUAAUCACUUGUCUUAUAAAUAAAGACCUGUAUGAAUGGCUAAAUGAGUAUUUGACUGUCUCCUUUGACUAAUCAGUGAAACUGAUCUUUCAGUACAAAAGCUGAGAUAAAGAUAUAAGACGAGAAGACCCUGUGGAGCUUUAAACUUUUAUCACUAUAAUAUUACCUCAUAUUUAUGACAAAAAGUUUUUAGUUGGGGCGACUUUGGAGUAAAACUUAGCCUCCAAAAAGGUAAAGCCUAAACAAGACCAACCAGUCAAAUUAUACGACCCAGUAUAACUGAUCAAUGAACCAAGUUACCCCAGGGAUAACAGCGCUAUCUUCUUCAAGAGUCCCUAUCGACAAGAAGGUUUACGACCUCGAUGUUGGAUCAGGACACCCAAAUGGUGCAGCCGCUAUUAAAGGUUCGUUUGUUCAACGAUUAACAGUCCUACGUGAUCUGAG
rnacentral:rRNA from 1 species